rnacentral:lncRNA from 1 species
GAUGUGUUGUCUUGGUGACGCUACUGAAACAGCUAAUGCGAACGAAUUUUAUUUCUGGCAGGUACAGAUCAGACCAGACGAAUAUUCCAAGUUUCCUCCAGGAGAGAAGGAGUUGAAAGAGCCCAAGUGAAAUGAAUACAGAUCUAUCUUUGGAAUUGAUUGAGAAGAACUGAUGAAUUGGGCUUCUUGGCUUCUCUGCUCUUCACGUCUAUGGGUGAUUUUGAAGAUCUUGGCCUAGCAAGAUGGCAGCGGGUUUUAAAAUGGGAUUCCCACGAAGUUAACACUUUUUCAGUGCAGAAGUAUGAGCUUCCCAAGAAGAGAUUCUUGUGGGUGACUGAUAGAAUCAGUUCUCUUCUCCUUGCUGACCUGCCACAGUGUCUGCCCUGAGCCUUCUGAUGUCUCCAUGGAGAAAUGGGUUGUUGAAGAAUUAAUUUGUAGUUGGAUGCAACACUUACAUUUUUUGGAUGAUCAGCCAUGCGGAAAAACAAAUGUACCUGAGAAGACUUUAAGAAAAGCACAUGUAUCUCCUGUUCCCACAAUAAAAAUGUGUGUACCAACUGUGUAACUAUUUGU